UACAGAGGUCCCAAGCGUUGUUCGGAUUCACUGGGCGUAAAGGGUGCGUAGGUGGUCGGGUAAGUCUGAUGUGAAAUCUCCGAGCUUAACUCGGAAAUGGCAUUGGAUACUAUUCAGCUAGAGGGUUUGAGGGGGGACUGGAAUACUUGGUGUAGCAGUGAAAUGCGUAGAUAUCAAGUGGAACACCAGUGGCGAAGGCGAGUCCCUGGAAAACUCCUGACACUGAGGCACGAAAGCUAGGGGAGCAAACAGG
rnacentral:rRNA from 1 species